GAUGAACGCUGGCGGCGUGCCUAAUACAUGCAAGUCGAGCGAAUGGAUUAAGAGCUUGCUCUUAUGAAGUUAGCGGCGGACGGGUGAGUAACACGUGGGUAACCUGCCCAUAAGACUGGGAUAACUCCGGGAAACCGGGGCUAAUACCGGAUAACAUUUUGAACCGCAUGGUUCGAAAUUGAAAGGCGGCUUCGGCUGUCACUUAUGGAUGGACCCGCGUCGCAUUAGCUAGUUGGUGAGGUAACGGCUCACCAAGGCAACGAUGCGUAGCCGACCUGAGAGGGUGAGCGGCCACGCUGGGACUGAGACACGGCCCAGACUCCUACGGGAAGCAGCAGUAGGGAAUCUUCCGCAAUGGACGAAAGUCUGACGGAGCAACGCCGCGUGAGUGAUGAAGGCUUUCGGGUCGUAAAACUCUGUUGUUAGGGAAGAACAAGUGCUAGUUGAAUAAGCUGGCACCUUGACGGUACCUAACCAGAAAGCCACGGCUAACUACGUGCCAGCCGCCGCAGUAA
rnacentral:rRNA from 1 species